GAAGAGAGGGAGGGAGCGGUGGCUCCGGCUGCUGCCUGGUCGGUGGCUCCGGGGGCGGCCGCUCCCCGCUGCGUCUCCCGGCCACCGGGGCCGCGCGGCUCCCCUCCGCCGCCUCUUGCGCGCGCUGUGAGGCGGCGCACACCCGGGCAAACUCCAACCUGCGAGCCGCCGCUGCAGCCGGGCGCAUUGGUGCCUGGGCCGGGGAUGGAAGGCAGGGGAGCAAACGAGAAAGGACCCGGACCCGGGGAUUUGGACCCUGCGGCAAGUGGGGGUCGCGCAGGCGGGGCGUCCGCCCGUGCUGUGCGCGCAAAGCUGCUAGGGUUGGGGAAGCGCCAUCACAUCGCUUCCAGGAGGUUUCAAGAUGCUGAUUUAUGGGCAGGAAGAUGGUGCAACUAAGUCCUGUCGCCUCCCAGCGCCAGAGCCUCUGAGCAAGAAGUUUGCAGAAAUCGACAGAAGGAUCAAAGGACAAAAAGAAAGAUGCUGGAAAAUGGAUGUGGGAUGAGAGAUGGCAGCUGGGAAGAUACUAAGAUAUCUCUUAAUUGUGAAGCCAGCAACACAGAGGAACCCAGGAAACUCAGUGGCGCAACCUGUCCAGCCUAGAACUACAGCUGGUGCAACCAAAUACUCCAUUUGGAAUGUGGUUUAUAAGGAGCAAUGCAUCCAAAAUUCCAAGUGAGGAUUUCCAAGGGAAAUUUUAAUACCUGUAUUUAGACUUAGUAGCCCUGAGGGGAAAUUGGGUGUUGAUUUAUGAAGCUGAGAGCAAUUGCGAGCAGCUGGAAUAUUAAGGACACAUUGUCAGAGGGAGGCUUUCAUUUCCAAUUUGGACUGAACUUCCAGAACCUUUCAAAGCCAUGAUUUGGACUCAUAAGCUCUUAGAAGUCCCUAUCUAGUUAAUUUAGGAAGUGUUAUACCCAACCCUUGGACUGUUUGAUUGAUGGAGCAGUUAAAGCUGUAGCAGUUAAAGAUAAAUACAAAAAAGUAGUUAAAUUUUAUUACAUUUCAUUGGUUUUUCUUUAGACAUAACUUGCUAAAAAUAUAAUUUUUGAAAUCAAAAGACAUUUUAAAAGAAUAAUUGAAUAAAAAGAAAGUCUGAAAUCUCUUUAUUAAUUCC
ensembl:lncRNA